rnacentral:rRNA from 1 species
UAGGGAAUCUUCGGCAAUGGACGAAAGUCUGACCGAGCAACGCCGCGUGAGUGAAGAAGGUUUUCGGAUCGUAAAACUCUGUUGUUAGAGAAGAACAAGGACGUUAGUAACUGAACGUCCCCUGACGGUAUCUAACCAGAAAGCCACGGCUAACUACGUGCCAGCAGCCGCGGUAAUACGUAGGUGGCAAGCGUUGUCCGGAUUUAUUGGGCGUAAAGCGAGCGCAGGCGGUUUCUUAAGUCUGAUGUGAAAGCCCCCGGCUCAACCGGGGAGGGUCAUUGGAAGGUGGGAGACUUGAGUGCAGAAGAGGAGAGUGGAAUUCCAUGUGUAGCGGUGAAAUGCGUAGAUAUAUGGAGGAACACCAGUGGCGAAGGCGGCUCACUGGUCUGUAACUGACGCUGAGGCUCGAAAGCGUGGGGAGCAAACAGG